AAGUCGUACGGAGAGUGGGGCAACUCACUCUCAGUGGCAAACGGGUGAGUAACGCGUGAAUAACCUGCCUUUGAGAAGGGGAUAACUGUCCGAAAGGAUAGCUAAUACCCUAUAUUGCCUUUUGUCACUAAGGCAAAAGGUGAAAGCGAGGCUGUCAAAGGCUUCGGCUCAAAGAGGGGUUCGCGUCCUAUCAGGUAGUUGGUGGGGUAAUGGCCUACCAAGCCAAUGACGGGUAGCUGGUCUUAGAGGAUAAUCAGCCACAGUGGGACUGAGACACGGCCCGCACCCCUACGGGGGGCAGCAGUGGGGAAUCGUGGGCAAUGGGCGCAAGCCUGACCCCGCAAUGCCGCGUGAGGGAAGAAGCCCUUCGGGGUGUAAACCUCUGUCAGAUGGGAAGAU
rnacentral:rRNA from 1 species